rnacentral:misc_RNA from 1 species
CAGAGUUGCAAAACUCCCAACCAUUGUGAACCGUACCUGCAACCGUUGCUUCGGCGGGUGCCGGGCUACCUCAGGCGUAGCGGCCCCGCUCGCGGGCCGGCAACUUCCAAACCCGACUCUGUUAUCAUUGGCCUCUCUGAGUAGCUUAUACAAUAAGUUC